CAAAGGUCGUGCCUCCGGCAAAGAGCACUAGUCAUGUGACUGUUGGCAGCGGCAGAAGUGCAAAUGGAGAAAAGGUGCGAACAGAGCUACCUUGAUUCUGUGUCCAGGGAUGAAGAAGGAAGGUAUCAUGUCGAUUUGCCAAUAAACAAAGAACUUCUACCAAAACUAGGCAAAUUCGAGUGAAACCUCAGUAUCAAGCACUUCAGCGCAUCCUGUGGAGAGAUGAUCCAUCGCAUGAUAUACAGUGUCUUCAGCUGGAUACUGUUACAUAUGGAACAGCAUCAGCCAGUUACCUUGCUACACGGACAUUGGUGAAAUUGGUUGAGGAUGAAGGUGAUAAUUUUCCAUCUGCUUCUAAGGCAUUACUUCAAAGUACCUUCGUUGAUGACAUUUUGCAU